UUGGGCGUUAAGUUGCAGGGUAUAGACCCGAAACCCGGUGAUCUAGCCAUGGGCAGGUUGAAGGUUGGGUAACACUAACUGGAGGACCGAACCGACUAAUGUUGAAAAAUUAGCGGAUGACCUGUGGCUGGGGGUGAAAGGCCAAUCAAACCGGGAGAUAGCUGGUUCUCCCCGAAAGCUAUUUAGGUAGCGCCUCGUGAAUUCAUCUCCGGGGGUAGAGCACUGUUUCGGCUAGGGGGCCAUCCCGGCUUACCAACCCGAUGCAAACUGCGAAUACCGGAGAAUGUUAUCACGGGAGACACACGGCGGGUGCUAACGUCCGUCGUGAAGAGGGAAACAACCCAGACCGCCAGCUAAGGUCCCAAAGUCAUGGUUAAGUGGGAAACGAUGUGGGAAGGCCCAGACAGCCAGGAUGUUGGCUUAGAAGCAGCCAUCAUUUAAAGAAAGCGUAAUAGCUCACUGGUCGAGUCGGCCUGCGCGGAAGAUGUAACGGGGCUAAACCAUGCACCGAAGCUGCGGCAGCGACACUGUGUGUUGUUGGGUAGGGGAGCGUUCUGUAAGCC
rnacentral:rRNA from 1 species